rnacentral:tRNA from 1 species
GGCCCCGUGGCGAAACAGGAACGCGGCGGUCUGCAAAACCGCUAUGAGCCGGGGCAGCACCGGCCGGGGCUU